CAAUAGCGUAUAUUAAAGUUGUUGCAGUUAAAAGCUCGUAGUUGGAUUUGUGGCGUACGGUGGGUUCCGGGCACUUGUUGUCUGAGUAACUUGCUGUUGCCAUCCUUGGGUGGAACCUGUGUGGCAUUAGGUUGUCGUGCAGGGGAUGCCCAUCAUUACUGUGAAAAAUUAGAGUGUUCAAAGCAGGCAUUAUGCCGUUGAAUAUAUUAGCAUGGAAUAAUAAGAUAGGACUUCGGAACUAUUUGUUGGUUUGCGUUACGAAGUAAUGAUUAAUAGGGACAGUUGGGGGUAGUUCGUAUUUCAUUGUCAGUAGGUGAAAUUCAUUGGAUUUCUGAAAGACGAACUA
rnacentral:rRNA from 1 species